rnacentral:tRNA from 2 species
GGGGGUGUCGCUCAGUGGUAGAGUGCUUGCCUAGCAUGCAUGAGGUCCUGGGUUUAAUCCCCAGCACUGCAA